GCAAAUUCUAGGGGAGAGAAGGAAUUCGAUUCGGGAUUCUUGUUUUAUUACUGAUCUCCAACUAAAUUAUUGAUGAUUUGGUUUCCUUGAAUGUCUUAGAGAACUUCAUUGAUCACCAGAAUACCAAGUGAUAUCAUCCAGGGAAGAUGUAUCAAUGGAGGAAAUUCGAGUUCUUCGAAGAGAAACUCGCCGGAAGAUGCACAAUUCCGGAAGAGGUAAG
rnacentral:misc_RNA from 1 species